CGCCUCUUGACAAAAUAUAAGAGGUCCAGCCUGCCCAGUGAUAAAAUUCAACGGCCGCGGUACCCUAACCGUGCGAAGGUAGCAUAAUCACUUGUUCUCUAAAUAGGGACUAGUAUCAACGGCAUCACGAGGGCUAUACUGUCUCCUUUCUCUAAUCAGUGAAACUGAUCCCCCCGUGAAGAAGCGGGGAUUAAAAUAUAAGACGAGAAGACCCCAUGGAGCUUUAAACUUAACAUAUACCUCUAUACUCUAUAUCAAAUAAAUUCUAGAAUUCUAUAUGCUAGUUUUAGGUUGGGGUGACCACGGAGUAUAAUUUAACCUCCAUGACAAAUGGGCUAUGCCCUUAUCCAUGAACUACAACUCUAAGAAUCAUAAACUGAUGUUUAUUGACCCGAUAAUUCGAUCAACGAACCAAGUUACCCUGGGGAUAACAGCGCAAUCUACUUCAAGAGCCCCUAUCGACAGGUAGGUUUACGACCUCGAUGUUGGAUCAGGGUAUCCUAGUGGUGCAGCCGCUUCUAAUGGUUCGUUUGUUCAACGAUUAAAACCC
rnacentral:rRNA from 1 species